UAGGGAAUCUUCCACAAUGGGCGAAAGCCUGAUGGAGCAACGCCGCGUGAGUGAAGAAGGGUUUCGGCUCGUAAAACUCUGUUGUUAAGGAAGAACAUAUCUGAGAGUAACUGUUCAGGUAUUGACGGUAUUUAACCAGAAAGCCACGGCUAACUACGUGCCAG
rnacentral:rRNA from 1 species